AUAGCUAGUUUUCUUAAAAAUGUGUUAAAGCACACAAUGAAUUUAAAAUUAAAAGUAAUUUAAAAUUCUUAUUAUUAAUUUUAGUUUAAUUGGACUCUUUUGAGGAUAAGCUCGAAAGUUGUUGUUGAGUCUUAUAUUAUUUAAAAUUACUGUGUGGGCCUAAAAUUAGCCAUCACAAAAGUUUGUUAUAAAAUAGCAAAGUAUAUUAAAAAUAUUAUUAUAUGUAGCACCAUAAAAACUUAUAAGAACAAUGAUCUAAACUAAAAGAUUUAAUAUGCCUAUGCUAGGAUGAGUAUUAUAAAAUUAUAUAUUAGGUAAAACUAGUACUUCUAAAAAAAUAUUUUUUAUAUAAAUUAAAGAGAAGGAAUUUGGCAAAUAUUGUUUCGCCUGUUUAUCAAAAACAUGGCUCUUUGAAAAGAACAAAUAGAGAGUCGAACCUGCCCGGUGAAUUAUUUUAACGGCCGCGGUACCCUGACCGUGCAAAGGUAGCAUAAUCAUUUGCCUUAUAAUUGAAGGCUAGCAUGAAUGGUCUGACGAAAGCAAUACUGUCUCCUCUUUAUUUUUUAGAAAUUAACUUAUAGGUGAAGAGGCCUAUAUUAUAUUGAAGGACAAGAAGACCCUGUCGAGCUUUUAAAUUAAAGUAGGUGUAAAUUAUUAACAAAAUCAAUGAACUGCAUUACAUUUUUAGUUGGGGCGACGAAGGAACAAACAAAGCUUCUUUUAUUUUUAUAAAUUUAUAGAUUUAGAUCCAGCAAAGCUGAUUAAAGAAAUUAGUUACCGCAGGGAUAACAGCAUAAUCUCCUUUGAGAGACCUAAUCGAAAAGGGGGGUUGUGACCUCGAUGUUGGACUAGAAUAUCCUGAAGAUGCAGACGUCUUCGAGGUUGGUCUGUUCGACCAUUAAAAUUCUAC
rnacentral:rRNA from 1 species